rnacentral:lncRNA from 1 species
AGUUUCCAGCCUGCCCUACCAAUUGUAGCCUUGCCAGCCUCCACAAUCACAUGAACUAAUUUCUUUUUUUUUUUUUUUAGACGGAGUCUCACUCUGUCGCCCAGGCUGGAGUGUUGUGGACUAUUCCCAAGAGCCUGUUUCUCAGUACAACGACUGUGUUCUUGUUCCCCGCACAUGCUACCUCACCCUCCUCUGCCUGUAGAU